UACGACGCCGACCUAGGCUACCCGCCCCGGCAGUUCCUCCUCCUACCCCUCCCCCUCCUGAGCCUACUCCUCCUCCUCCUCCUGAAGAACCAGCGGCUGCGCCGCCGGCCGCUGCUCGUCGUGCGCGCCGGAGGCCUCGCCGCCGCCCCCUCCCCCUCCCUCCUCUUCCUCGCCUGGUUCCGCGCCCUCGCCGCCGCCGCCCGCCACUGCCCCGCCUAGGACCGCCCCGACGCCGCCGUGCCGCCGAAGCCCGAGGCGAGGGCGCGGCUGCAGUUGCUCCACCAGCGGCGGGAGCGGGCGGUGCGGCCGACCCAGCAGGAGGGGCUGCCGUGGUGGAAGGGGAGGGUGGGGGUCCGUUCAAAGGUAAAAAGGGGAGGGAGGGGAGCGGACCAGUGGUGAGUGGGUACGGUGGAGUCGAGUGGGUCACUCACUCGAUGGCCACUGUCGCUCACUCACUCGUCACCGUGAGUAAAUACUGCAGUACUUGGCGGCAUAUGCCCGCCAUCUCGGCUUGUUAUGCCGCAUAAGACUCUAAUUUUUCGACCCUAAAAACCACCGGCAGGUACCGGCGUUUCCCUCCCGCCGCCGCGCCCUAGUGCCCGCCGACGAGGGCGGGGGCGUGGGCGGAGGGCCCCCGCGCGAGGUGGCGGUGGAGGGGGCAGAAGAAGGAGGGAGGGUAGGGCUCUAUCUAGGCUGCGAUUGACGAGGAGGAGGACGAUGAUGAGACGAGGAGGUCUGCGGCGCGGGGCGCUACGAGCGUGGCCGGUAGAGGGAGAGGAGGGGGAGGCGGCGGCGGCGGCGCGACGGCUGCGACGAGGGCCAGAGGAGGAGGAGGACGCGCGGUCCGUAGCGGCAAGGGGGCGAGCGGCGCGCGGGCUAGAGCGCGGCGCGGCCCACGCGGGGGCGCGAGGCCUGGCGGCGGCGGAGGAGCGGGAAGCGCCACAGCGCGCGGCACGGGCUCCCGCCGGGGCGCAGCGGCGACGAGCGGCACGGGCACGGGCUGCUGCUCCUGCGGCUGCGGCGGUACCUGCCGCCGCUGCCCCCGCUCGUCUGGCCGGAGCGCUGCGCGGGCCGCCACCGGGGCGGCGCCGGGGGCGGGCUCGCCCUGAAGCGGCCGUGCGGGAUGCACGGGCAGAUGCAGUACGAGGGCGAGCCCCACCACUCGCACUUCCCGCUCCACCGCCUCCGCCUGCUCGACCACCGCGUCGACGCCCACGAGUUCCGCCGCCCGCAGCUGCCGCAGUACCAGCUGACGACCACCCCGUUGCAGCUCCGCGUGGCGGGCGUCCUCAUGUUGACCCGGCCGAUGUUCGCGGAGAAGGUGUAGUAGUCCCUGGAGUUCGAGUUCGACGUCCACCAGUACAGCAAGGUACUCACGCCUCCGUUGCAGCCCCUGCUGCACAGGUAAGGAGAGGGCCUUACCCACUAUCUCUAGCCGUUCUCGUUGGGCCUGUAGAUGAAGUGGCUGUCCCUUCCGUCCGCAUUGUGCCUCACGGAAAGUACCCCGUAACUAUUUCUUUCCCAAGAUGUUCCGGCUUGGCGCCAGCUCCACAUGAAACUGAAGUACUCUUCGAAGGCUCAUCUUAAACUGCUCAUAAAGCUCCUACCCUAGUAAAGUCUUUAACUCCAACCUGAUCCCCGAACACCUCUCAAUGCCAUAGGUAGAAUACGUCGUUUGGUACCGACCUUUAUGGGACCGUAACCUCUUAAAGUCACGAUACUGUCCAUGAACGUCUUUUUAGACUCCUCCCGGCGUCUUCGUGCCCCUGUGCGGUACACCCGUUUCAGUGGUCUGUUGCGGCCGGUGAUAUUAAGACUUGGUUUGUUGUGACCUAAGAAGACACUACCUCCCCUAAUACUAUCGAUAAUACCGGCCAAGAAGGAGUUGACCAUGCGUGUCCACAACGACCUAGUACGCCUGGCGCACGACUACGAUCGGUCCAACCGGAAACUUCCGAGUCGAUAACGACAGUUCCACAGUCCGUAUGUGACCACCAUGUUUUGACGGUCAGUACGACGACUCGACUGACGACCCAAGAUGUUGGGUACAUUGGCGCUACCGAUACGAGGUUAACGGGUUCAUAACUUUUUCGUACCACGCCGAAACUUGAAGUGUACGCAGCUUGACGCGUGGUACCUAGUCGUACUCCACAUGGGGCUCCGGAACCGUCUAGGUCUCCCGAACCAUACCGUCCACGACUUGCGACGCACCCUACGGCCCUAUGUUCACCGGUCGCUCUUGCGCGACGGUACGAUGCUGUCCCUGCCGAAGUUGUUCUGUGACCUCUUGCGGUUCGGCGCCUUGCUGGGGCUACCCGCCGUGAACAAGCCCAAGUGGAUGGACUCCGAAACGUCGUGGGAGAAGCUCCCUGGGUUGGAGGGACUCAAACUCGCAAAGCAGUUCUCCUACGUGCCGCUUCGCCAAGUACUGAACUCCCGCAUCUAACAAUCGCACAAUGUAUGUAUUCAUGUAUUAUGUGUUCUGAAAAAACAACAGGGUCCCGAGUAAUACCAAGAGUAACGCCUUGGUGUACACGGUAAAAACAGAGCGCUAUCGAACUAUAAACUCGAUAUAUAACUUGGCUUAUUGCGGCGAGGUUCUACAUUUGGUAUAGAAGGACACGUAUAUCAGGAUCAAUAGUUCGUACUCCUAGUCUUCAACCAACGGCAGCUCACCGACUGUCGUUGCGGCACUCGGCAUCGAAGACACUUUCCAAACUCCGACACGUUUAUUUUUACGGCUACGACAAGAGAGAGAGAGAGAGAGAGAGAGAGAGAGAGAGAGAGAGAGAGAGAGAGAGAGAGAGAGGACACUACGAGUAUCAAUUCGUCGUACCAAGCAAAAAACAAACCAUGACUAUACAAACACAGUACACAAGAAAACAACUACCUCUCCCUACGGCU
rnacentral:rRNA from 1 species